GGGAGACACCAGCCCUUUCCAUGCUGAGUGUUUGGAGCUGUGUUGCAUCUGCAAGAGGCAGCUGAUGUUUGCAGUCCUUUCUUCUGUACCUGAUUUUCUCCCCCUCAACUCCCACAGGCAAUGCCCAAAGUGCCCUUUAACAGAGUGGAGAUAAGACAGCGCCAGCAGGGUCACCUGGCAGUGGUUUCAAACAAGAAAUUCAGCUCAGCAGGAACAGGAUCAGAAGCCAUCUCUCCUCCCCUGGGACAGAGCCAGCGACUCCAGUCAGGGCAGCCUCCUGGCGAGCAGCAAACGGAAGGACUGGUUUGAUCCUUGAUCAUCUGAACCAGGGAAUGGCCUUUGCUGUCAGAUGAUGAACCUGAGUAAAGUGGCAUCGCCCCUGUGCGUUUUCAUUCCACAAGGUAAAAGGCAACUAAUUUCCAUGCAACGGCAAUGGUGCUUUCUUUUCAUCAUCACACCAUUGCAAAUUGAUGCUACAUCCAGGUCAGUGUUUCCUCUCAGGCGGACGCUGAGGAUGCUGUCAUGCUGGAAGGUUGUCAUCCGCCUUUCCAAACCUUUAUUUAAUAGGAGCUGUGGUAUCAAAUUCUGGUGAAAUAGUCCUUGAAAAGUAACCACCUGCUUUUUAAGCGGCUAGAGGCAUACCUCUGCUGCUCCCCCUAUUUAAAAUAAAUAGACCUAUCACAGAGAAAAGCCUACGGUUCAGCCGCACACCGUGAAGUCCCACUGAGACCAAACCCAAUGCUAAAUUUGUCAAUUCACACUAAUGUUAUUUUUAAUUGCUUUCUCGACGGUUGUGCUCAGAGCCCGCCCGGCGCCGGGCACUGUGUGUUGGUGUUUCACAGCAGCUCCUGCCCAGAAAACCUCCUCAUCCCCCCAGGCUGGAGCAAACGGAGACAAAUAUAACAUUGACAAAUAUAGUGUUGUCACUGGGGCUGGAGACCGGGACCUCAGACCCCGACAACCAAUGGGAGAAAGAGCUUUCAUCCCAAGAUACCUUUCUGCUAAAAUAUCAGAGCUGUGCAAACCCUCUGGGAAGUUUCCAAGGUGUAGCAGGACUCAGCAGCCAGCCAGGGUUGAUGAAUCCUCCCUACACGUUGAUUGCAUCAUCGGGUGAGAGUGGCCGUCAUUGGGGUAGCGUCUGCUUCAAGCAAUGGUGCUGCCAGCAUCAUCAGGAGCCC
rnacentral:lncRNA from 1 species